CUGGUUGAUCCUGCCAGUAGUCAUAUGCUUGUCUCAAAGAUUAAGCCAUGCAAGUCUAAGUAUAAGCCAAAUUAAGGUGAAACCGCAAAAGGCUCAUUAAAUCAGUUAUGGUUCCUUGGAUCGUACAAACCAUUACUUGGAUAACUGUGGUAAUUCUAGAGCUAAUACAUGCAAACAGAAUCCCGACCAGAGAUGGAAGGGACGCUUUUAUUAGAUCAAAACCAAUCGGGGCUUGCCCCGCACUUCUUGGUGACUCUGAAUAACUUUAAGCUGAUCGCACGGUCUCCGUACCGGCGACGCAUCUUUCAAAUGUCUGACUUAUCAACUGUCGAUGGUAGAUUCUGCGCCUACCAUGGUUGGUAACGGGUAACGGGGAAUCAGGGUUCGAUUCCGGAGAGGGAGCCUGAGAAACGGCUACCACAUCCAAGGAAGGCAGCAGGCGCGCAAAUUACCCACUCCCGGCACGGGGAGGUAGUGACGAAAAAUAACGAUACGGGACUCAUCCGAGGCCCCGUAAUCGGAAUGAGUACACUUUAAAUCCUUUAACGAGUACCAAUUGGAGGGCAAGUCUGGUGCCAGCAGCCGCGG
rnacentral:rRNA from 1 species